AUUUAAAUAAAUUAAUAAUUUUAAUUUAUUCUUCAAUUAGAUGGUUUUUUAAUUGCUAAAUUCAGAUCGACAUGAAUUGAACCUUAAUCGGUUAAGAAUGGAUCUAAUUGAAUUAGGUCAAAAUGCACCCAAACCUAUACUGGCUAGAUGUGGAGCCCAAUGGAUCAUACACAUAAGGGAAUGGGUCAAAGAGUUGAUUUGAUAAGGUCGAUUGAACUAAUUGAUU
rnacentral:lncRNA from 1 species